AACCCAUGAUCAUUUCCUUAGUUAGCUAUUGUCGGACUCCCUCCCAACAAUUAUCGACUGUUUUGUGGUACUGUCGUAUCAAUAGUGAUGUUGUACCUCAAAGUAUCUUUAUUAUUGCUUCUUUAUGCUUGCAUUUGAACUGCUUUCCUUGUUUAAUUUUCUAGCAAGCGGUGGAUAUCAUCUUCACUCAUGAUUAAUGCAGCAAUCACAUGAACAGCUGUUGCACUCGAAACAACAAUUUGAAAAUGCUGAUAUUGAGAUUACGAAUUCAUGCAACGACUAUUUAUCUUACUUUCUUUUCAAGUAAUUUCAGUCAAAACAUUAGCAACAUAGUGAAGUUUAUGAUACGUAUCUCAAGCUUAAGAGAUGUUCGUUAGUGUGCUUCUCCACCUCAAGCCAUACCUAAUAGUUUAACUUAGUUGAAAUGUGGAUCUUUGAAUAGCAGAGGACAUUAAAAAUAAUCUGGUGGAUUUUUAAUCUGAUUUUUUAUGUAAAGGUUUUAAACUAACAUGGAAUCUCUCUAGAAUCGUGCAAUCCUGUAUUUCAGUUGGGUGUCCUUCCUAUGUCUAACACUAAUCGUGCGAUCCUGCAUUAUGGUUUUGGAGAAACAAAAAUCCAAUCGCAGAUUGGCGUGCUAUGAUUGGGCCAACAGAUGCAUCUAAAGCUAAGGCUACACAUCCCAACAGCAUUACAGCAAUGUGUGGCUUGGAUCAGAGAAAAAUUUGUGUUCAUGGUUCAGAUUCUCUUCAAUCAGCAAAAAGAGAGAUCAUUUUUCUUUGAUGAGGAAAUUGAGAGCAAUGGAGAAUGGUAGAAGGUAAAAUCUCUGAAAACCCGAGGAAAGCAUAACAAAGAAAGAAAAGAAUUGUGCUAAGAAGUUCCAUCUUAAGUACAAUAGGUGCAACCUUGGACCUGGGCAUCUGGCUUUCUUACUUCCAGACCCCCUUUUAAGCAUCCAAUACCGUUUAAGAUCUUUUACUCAGCUAGGGAUGACACUUUUCUAGAUUGGCAUUCCCGAGUGCAUUUUGAUGAAUAUGCAAAGGUGUAAAUGUAAAUGUAAACGUAUAAGAGAAUCUUUAAUUGAAAGGCGUGAGUCCAUUUUACCCCGUUGUAAAUUGUAAUCCGACCUAAAUAUGUAUAGCAUGUACAUAUGACAUCCUUAUCAUGCCAUAUUUGUCCUAUCGACCUAGAUGUCUAUUUACAUAUCUUAAUAUGUAGAUCUAUGUACUCCACAUUUGUUUGAUCUGAAUAAAUGUGGUGUACAUAUGUGCGCCCCUUCAGACCUUAAAAACAUUGAUCUUAAGUAACCUUUCACACUUUGUUUGCUCCAAUGUAAACUGUAAAGUAUGGGCCUAUAGCAUCCUUUCCGUGCCCCCUUUGUCCCGUUGCCAUAAGACUGAAGAUUGAUUGGUUUUACUUGUUAGCGGAUUCAUGUAGGAAAGUGAGAUUGUAGUUUUGUAACCCAUGACUGCUACACUUUCAGAUUUACGUAUAUAUAAUUUUGGAUAUUUAGGUUAGCUUUAUAGAUUGCGAGUAUCCCAUAAAACAAUUAAUUUGAUCCUAUAGCAUGUUUAUGGUCGGAGAUUUAAUAUCUUAGAUGAUAUCCUUGUAACAGCCCAAGCCCACCGCUAGCCGAUAUUGUCCUUUUUUAGCUUUUCCUUUC